ACGGAAGGCAGCAGUGGGGAAUAUUGGGCAAUGGGGGAAACCCUGACCCAGCAACGCCGCGUGAGGGAAGAAGGUCUUCGGAUUGUAAACCUCUGUCCUUGGGGACGAAGCAGUGACGGUACCUAAGGAGGAGGCCCCGGCUAACUACGUGCCAGCAGCCGCGGUAAUACGUAGGGGGCAAGCGUUGUCCGGAAUCACUGGGCGUAAAGGGUGCGUAGGCGGUUAAUUAAGUCAGAUGUGAAAUACCCGGGCUUAACUCGGGGGCUGCAUCUGAUACUGGUCAACUUGAGUGUAGGAGAGGAAAGCGGAAUUCCUAGUGUAGCGGUGAAAUGCAUAGAUAUUAGGAGGAACACCAGUGGCGAAGGCGGCUUUCUGGACUACAACUGACGCUGAGGCACGAAAGCGUGGGGAGCAAACAGGAUUAGAUACCCUGGUA
rnacentral:rRNA from 1 species